ensembl:lncRNA
CAGAUUUGAUUGCAGUGACUCUGGGCUCUCCAGACACUUUAAUAUUGGUGGCAGAACCUGGUGAUGAUGUCACCAUUUGGAACCAGUAUAACCAGAUAGAACCAGUAAACACAAUGUGAUGACUGUAAACUCCCAGAACACCUCUCUGACAAUAACUGGAGUGAAUUACACUGAUUCAGGACUGUAUUACUGUGGCAUUCCACGAAGCACUCAAAUUUCCUUCAGCAAUGCUACAUAUUUACAAGUGAUAGUCACUUAAAACAUUUUGUUUCAGAGCGAAAUGAAACACAUUUCAAAAGAACAUUUGAAGAAGGU